rnacentral:rRNA from 1 species
UCCGUAGGAGGCAAGCGUUGUCCGGAGUUACUGGGCGUAAAGCGUACGCAGGCGGUCCAAUCAGUCUGUAGGGACAGGGCACAGCUUAACUGUGUCAGGCUUAUGGAAACUGUUGGACUUGAGGGCUUCAGAGGGAUGGGGAAUUCCGGGUGGAGUGGUGAAAUGCGUAGAGAUCCGGAAGAACACCAAAGGCGUAGGCACCAUCCUGGGGAGUCACUGACGCUCAUGUACGAAAGCUAGGGGAGCGAACGGG